rnacentral:rRNA from 1 species
GCGAACGCUGGCGGCAGGCCUAACACAUGCAAGUCGCACGGAUCCUUCGGGAUUAGUGGCGGCCGGGUGAGUAACACGUGGGAACGUGCCCUUUGGUUCGGAACAACUCAGGGAAACUUGAGCUAAUACCGGAUGUGCCCUUCGGGGGAAAGAUUUAUCGCCAUUGGAGCGGCCCGCGUCUGAUUAGCUAGUUGGUGAGGUAACGGCCCACCAAGGCGACGAUCAGUAGCUGGUCUGAGAGGAUGAUCAGCCACACUGGGACUGAGACACGGCCCAGACUCCUACGGGAGGCAGCAGUGGGGAAUCUUGCGCAAUGGGCGAAAGCCUGACGCAGCCAUGCCGCGUGAAUGAUGAAGGUCUUAGGAUUGUAAAAUUCUUUCAGCGGGGACGAUAAUGACGGUACCCGCAGAAGAAGCGCCGGCUAACUUCGUG